AGCUCUUUUCAAAGAGGGCUUGGGGGCUGCAAAAUGAAGAGGUCUUAACAGUAUGACCGAAGACUCGCGUUCUCAACAGUUCCAUGUUUUCCGCACGAGAUACGACU
rnacentral:snoRNA from 1 species